GUUUCAGCAGCCGCGGUAAUACGUAGGUGGCAAGCGUUGUCCGGAUUUACUGGGCGUAAAGGGCUUGUAGGCGGUCCGCUAAGUCUGGUGUGAAAUCUCCCGGCUCAACCGGGAGGGGUCAUCGGAUACUGGCGGACUAGAGACGGGUAGAGGAAAGCAGAAUUCCCGGUGUAGCGGUGAAAUGCGUAGAUAUCGGGAGGAAUACCAGUGGCGAAGGCGGCUUUCUGGGCCUGUUCUGACGCUGAGGAGCGAAAGCGUGGGGAGCAAACCGGAUUAGAUACCCGUGUAGUCC
rnacentral:rRNA from 1 species